CCGGUUUUCAAACAUGCACCCUACAUUUGAGCUCUUAAAAAUAGUAAUGGAAGACAUCCCCCCCAGGAAUCCUCCCCCUCAUUCUCGCGGUUCAACAGAAGAGGAACCCGCCCAAGCGCUUCUUGGGCUAUAGGAAGAUUGAGUUUUCUCUCCCAUUUCUUCAAUCAUCUCCCGCUUCAAGCUCCUACCUUUUAACUUCCCAUCCAUCUCCUGCUCUUAUUGAAGAGGUAAAUUCCUUCUCCCAUUCCAUCGAAGCCUUCUCCAACACAAAAAAGUUGCCACCUUUCGUCUCUUUUCCAUCUCCUAGCUUGAUUUCAUAGGUCUUGAAGCCAUCAAGCUCCCAGCUUGUCCAUCCUAUCCAUCUGCUAGCUUGAAUAUUAUAUAGGUCUUAGAGCCAUCAAGUGCUCACCUUUCUCUUCCAUUCCGACUCCUUGCUUCAUUUUUCGAUAGGUGGAUUACUUCUGCUCUCUUCAAAUUCCUUCAGCAGGCAAUCUCCCAAGUCCACCCACCUCCCACUUCUUGGCUCUCCCUCUCAGAGAAAUGACCACUCCCCCUUCCGCAGCAUCUUCUCCAAGGUCGAGUCGGUAGAAGGUGUUAUGGUUCGAUUCCUCAAGCGCGGAGCAAGCCUCGACAAGCUGGUGCAGGGGAAGGAGGGGGUAUGCGAGAUCUCGGGACGCCUGGCGCAGAGCCUAAUUCUGGACGGUGUGGGUGGGAACGAGGAGAACGUGACCUUUAUAUAUAUAUGUGUGUGUGUGUGUGUGUGUGUGUGUGUGUGUGGUUUUCUGAUCAUACGGGGACAAAGCUAAGUGGCCUGAGGGUCAGUGAUCUUUUUAUUGAGCGAUCAUCUUGUCUGGAUAGUUUCUCUCUAAAAUUAAUAAUCUGGUAGGAUAAUGUAGAUUGUUUGGAUGAUAAUAUCUAAUUUGGUAAAUCUGAUUCACACAUGAAGCUGACGAAGGAGAGGUUUGUUUGUAAAACUACUUCUAAGAUAAAAUUUUUAUAGUCGGACCGAUUAUAGAAAGAAUUAUGAUCGGACCGUCAUCGUCUGCCAUAUACAUAUAUUAAGGCGUUCAUCGAAAAAAGAAUAUUUAUGUGAUGUUUAUCUAAAUUGUUCAAAUAUCUUCAGAAUUUAUCUAUUUUUUUUUUUUAGUAUUUCAAUAUGUGCGUGCGCUUAUGUGUGCGACCACCCAUCUUUUGAUGGAUGUUUUCGAAGCAUGUCCAACUAUAAUUCCUUUCAUGAUCGGUCCGACUAUUAAAGUUUUAUCUCUACUCUCAAGCGAAGACAUGUCAGAUGGUGAAAAAGGAGUUUCUUCAGCUCUGGCUCUGUCUAAUAUCAUCAGCAAUCUUGCCAAUAUUAUUAAUUUUCCGUCAUUUGUUCCAUUCGUAGAAAGCACCUACUACACUUCAUAUAGGCAAUUGGA
rnacentral:lncRNA from 1 species